GACGAACGCUGGCGGCGUGCCUAAUACAUGCAAGUAGAACGCACAGUUUAUACCGUAGCUUGCUACACCAUAGACUGUGAGUUGCGAACGGGUGAGUAACGCGUAGGUAACCUGCCUGGUAGCGGGGGAUAACUAUUGGAAACGAUAGCUAAUACCGCAUAAUAUUUAUUAUUGCAUGAUAAUUAAUUGAAAGGUGCAAUUGCACCACUACCAGAUGGACCUGCUUUGUAUUAGCUAGUAGGUGAGGUAACGGCUCACCUAGGCGACGAUACAUAGCCGACCUGAGAGGGUGAUCGGCCAACCUGGGACUGAGACACGGCCCAGACUCCUACGGGAGGCAGCAGUAGGGAAUCUUCGGCAAUGGACGAAAGGCUGACCGAGCAACGCCGCGGGAGUGAAGAAGGUUUUCGGAUCGUAAAGCUCUGUUGUAAGAGAAGAACGGGUGUGAGAGUGGAAAGUUCACACUGUGACGGUAUCUUACCAGAAAGGGACGGCUAACUACGUG
rnacentral:rRNA from 1 species